UAACUACUCCCUCUGUCCCAAAUUUCUUGUCUUAGAUUUGUCUAGAUACGGAUGUAUCUAAUACUAAAAUGUGACUUGAUACAUCUGUAUCUAGACAAAUCUAAGACAAGAAUUUUGGGACGGAGGGAGUACUUU
rnacentral:pre_miRNA from 1 species